rnacentral:lncRNA from 1 species
UUUCUCUCACCUCAGCUCCCUUCCCUUGGACUUCCAAAAGGAAUAAUUUUACUCUCUCCUCCGUUCUCCCCACAACUCUCAUCCCCGCUAGCCCGCAGGCCGCCUGCCCCUUUCCGCACCUCCUUUUCCCAUCCAGCGAGAGAAACCUAGCUCCCAGAGCCGGUGCAGUCAGUCCCCUCGCCCCUCCCGCCCCUGCACGGGUCCCCCUCUAGCCGUCGCUGCAACCACCACCUCGGUUCCACUCAACCGAUUUUUGCUGCAUGUCAACACUUAUUACCGCCAAGGUUUGGUUUGGUUUGGUUUGGUUUGGUUUGGUUUGGUUUGGUUUGGUUUUUCCUCCAUUCAUGCAACUGAGGAAAUGGCCCGCUGAUGCUGGGACCUGACGUACCCACACUAAGGCAUGAGGGUGGAUUCCUCACAGCCCGGAGACUGCCUCUGCCAAUGCUUCCUCUCUCCAGAAACAGCAAAGCCUCUCUGCCUCCGCUGAGAGUUUGCAGCAGUGCGGGACCCCCUCGCACACAGUCCUGGGCAGGAACUUUUAUCCUCGUCGCUCUGGAAAGAUGAGACCUAGAACCACCACUGCUGUCCCCCAGAAAGCGGUGGGCAGCUUAUUGAAUGUGACUUGGGACCCAUACCAGUGGCAGCCCAAUUCUUGG